AGCGAACGCUAGCGGCGGGCUUAACACAUGCAAGUCGAGCGGAGAGCUUCGGCUCUCAGCGGCGAACGGGUGAGUAACACGUAGGUCACGUACCCUUUGAUGGGGAAUAACCUAGGGAAACCUGGGCUAAUACCGUAUAUGUCCUUCGGGAUGAAAGCCUUCGGGCGUCAGAGGAUCGGCCUGCGGCCCAUUAUUUAAUCCUAGUUGGUAGGGUAAUGGCCUACCAAGGGUACGAUGGGUAGCUGGUCUGAGAGGAUGAUCAGCCACACUGGAACUGAGACACGGUUCAGACUCCUACGGGAGGCAGCAGUGGGGAAUAUUGGACAAUGGGCGAAAGCCUGAUCCAGCCACGCCGCGUGGGUGAUGAAGGCCUUCGGGUUGUAAAGCCCUGUCGGGAGGGACGAAUCAAUGACGGUACCUCCCAAGAAAGCACCGGCUAACUCCGUG
rnacentral:rRNA from 1 species